rnacentral:rRNA from 1 species
GGAAAAGUUGAAAAAAGGUGGCGUAUUGGGAAAAUGCGCCUGGACCUAAAAA